rnacentral:rRNA from 1 species
UACGUAGGUGGCAAGCGUUGUCCGGAAUUAUUGGGCGUAAAGCGCGCGCAAGCGGUUUCUUAAGUCUGAUGUGAAAUCUCGCGGCUCAACCGUGAGCGGUCAUUGGAAACUGGGAAACUUGAGUGCAGAAGAGAAGAGCGGAAUUCCACGUGUAGCGGUGAAAUGCGUAGAGAUGUGGAGGAACACCAGUGGCGAAGGCGGCUCUUUGGUCUGUAACUGACGCUGAGGCGCGAAAGCGUGGGGAGCGAACAGG